UGGCUAUGAUUAAAUUGUUUUAUCCGCGCUUCAGAGAGCAAUCUAUGAAGUAUACGGUAAAUAUGGUUGAAUUUAUUAAUAUGAGCCA
rfam:Ipomoea nil DNA, scaffold: scaffold2704, cultivar: Tokyo-kokei standard.